rnacentral:lncRNA from 1 species
AUGAGCAAAUUAAUAAUAAACCAGCAGAAAACAGAGCCCGGGGGGGUCCCUCGGGUGCCCCCCCCUCACCCCCGGCUCCCGCUUCCCCCCGGAUCCCCCGGGAAGGGGCGGGGGGGAGCGGGAACGGCCUCUCCCGCGGCCGGUCACCUCGGGUUAGUGGGGACAUUCCAUUAUGAUUAUUACGAUUUAAUGUUUAUUUUUCCUGCCGGGGCGCCGCCGCCGCCGCCGCCUUUCCCGCAGCCACGGGCUCCCGCCGCGCCCGGAGCUCUCGGCUCCCCAAGGGCAAGAAAACCCCUAAAACAGGUGGUUUUGGCCCCAAAACGCCCAGGCCGGCGGGCGGCGGGGACCGGCUCGGGGGCCGGUUUGCGGGAAUCCAAAAGCGGAUCCCGCAUCGCCCCCGCCGCGGUGCCGGACCUUCCCCCCCCCCGCGGUACCGGCGCCGGGAGCCAGCCCGGUGCGGUCGGUGGUGGCGGGGCUAACGGUGGCUGCUGCUCUGUCUCCGGUACCGGAGCCUCCCGCCCGCCGCCCGGGGAGCGGUGCCGACUCACGCACGGCCGCUCCCCGCGUCCCUCCGGUACCGGCGACAACCGCAACGGGGCUGACUCAUGCACCGGCGGCGCUUGGAGGCUUCUGCCCGCUCCGCACCGGUCCCCCGAGAGUCCAACCGGGGGGGGGACCCUCCGGUACCAGCACCAGCCGCCCCGCUCCCCCGCGGGGUCCUACCGGAUCGGCACCUCCCGGUACCGGAGACCCCCACCGGGCGGGCACCCCCCGGUCCCGCCACCAGCCGUAGCGGAUCGGCGCCUCCCGGUGCCGACAACCGGUGGACGGGUCCUCGGAGCCUCCUACCGGCUGGGCUCCUCUCGUUACCGGCCAGCGGAGACCCCCACCGGCGUGGGCACCUCCCGGUACCGGCCGCCCCGGUACGGACCUCACGCUUUAUCGACCCCCCGGAGCCUCCUUACCGGGCGGGAACCUCCCGGGAGCGGCCGGUUCUCCCCGGUGCCGGUGGGCGCUCGGGCAGCCCGGGGAGGGUGGGGGGGGUCGCGGUGCGGUGCGGCGGGGCCGGCGCCGCUGCCGGGGCUGCCGCCAGCGCGGCCCCUUUAA